rnacentral:ncRNA from 3 species
GGGAUAACUGGCUUGUGGCAGCCA